rnacentral:rRNA from 1 species
AGUUUGAUUCUGGCUCAGGACGAACGCUGGCGGCGUGCCUAAUACAUGCAAGUUGAACGCUGAAGACUGGUACUUGUACUAGUUGGAUGAGUAGCGAACGGGUGAGUAACGCGUGGGUAACCUACCUCUUAGCGGGGGACAACUAUUGGAAACGAUAGCUAAUACCGCAUAACAAUCACUAACACAUGUUAGUGAUUUGAAAGCACCAAUUGGUGCACUAAGAGAUGGACCCGCGUUGUAUUAGCUAGUUGGUAGUGUAAUGGACUACCAAGGCGAUGAUACAUAGCCGACCUGAGAGGGUGAUCGGCCACAUUGGGACUGAGACACGGCCCAAACUCCUACGGGAGGCAGCAGUAGGGAAUCUUCGGCAAUGGACGAAAGUCUGACCGAGCAACGCCGCGUGAGUGAAGAAGGUUUUCGGAUCGUAAAACUCUGUUGUUAGAGAAGAACGUUGCAUAGAGUGGAAAAUUAUGCAAGUGACGGUAUCUAACCAGAAAGGGACGGCUAACUACGUGCCAGCAGCCGCGGUAAUACGUAGGUCCCGAGCGUUGUCCGGAUUUAUUGGGCGUAAAGCGAGCGCAGGUGGUUUAAUAAGUCUGAUGUAAAAGGCAGUGGCUCAACCAUUGUGUGCAUUGGAAACUGUUAGACUUGAGUGCAGUAGAGGAGAGUGGAAUUCCAUGUGUAGCGGUGAAAUGCGUAGAUAUAUGGAGGAACACCGGUGGCGAAAGCGGCUCUCUGGACUGUCACUGACACUGAGGCU